UCAAACUAAGGAUCUACACGUGAUGUCUUAUUCCUUCACAUCUCUUAACUUAUAUCCAUCGCGCAAGACUCUUGUUCUUCCCGUAAAUCAUUUAUCAUUAUAGUUUCUUGGCCAAACAUCCACCGCAUAUUACCUUUUACCUUAAGUCAAACUUCUCAAAUGAAACUUCAUCGAACUCUUCUACAAUCACAAGUAUUUAACUGCUACAACUCAAACCAUGCAAAAGUCCUUCCAAUGGCUAAAAAGUUGAUACAACCAAUCAUCUCUUACCUUGCCAACCCACAUCUUGACAAAACCAAC
rnacentral:lncRNA from 1 species